UUGGCAGAGCCGAUUCAAGUUCAAACUGUGCCCAAAACAGUCAUGGCGCUAGUGGCAGGCCACAUCCUACUCCUUGGUCCUCACUUCUACUAUUGUCAGUACCACUGCCACUCCACCCGGUUGCAGACAAAACUGCAGGCAGCCAGCCAGGCAGAGGGCGCGUGAUGGCGACUGUUGAUUGAGAUUUCCUUUAUUCUCCAUGUCUAACUCCCCUUCUAUCUUUCCCCUUCUAUCUAAUCUGCUCCCCCGUCCAAAGUUAUAUUCCAAGCUUGUCAUUUGCUAUCGAGGGCCAAUGAAUGGACCUGGAACUUCACAUCCAAACUUAGGCAAACCUACAAACGGCGAGCAGUCGGCAGCGCUUCAUCGCCAUGGUUCAUGGUUUGUCUCUCUGAAAGAGUAAGCUCAAACGUUGCCGCGCAAUGAACCGGAGGGAGUAGCAAAUCGGCACGAUGAGUUAUUUUGGUUCCGUGCAGGUGCUGCUGCUACACCCCUGCGUUUGGCUGGGCAACUUGCUGCAGAAGCAACGAUAUGAAGGAGGAGGGGCAAAAAAACAAUUCACGGUAGCAAUUCAGCACAUUUAAUUCAAGGACUUUAAUUAAAACAAUUAUUCGGUGAGUAAAUAUUUGAUGUUUUGUCACGGGUCGGGUCCAGAUGUGGGUCCGGACCUAGGAAUAUAUGCGUCAAAGCGCAGCGCGACACGCCUCGUCAGUGCUGGCUGGCUCCACCUCAUCGCUCUCUCCCUGCACGCGCACCACCGCCUCGUGCACUGCGUGCCAACAGCAAGCAGCGGACGCCCAAUCGCAACUCGGGACGCCGUCCGCGGCCCUGUUUCAAAAUAAAUCCUCGCUUUCUCAAUCCGCACACCCACACCGCCCACCCAUCCGCACACCCACACUAACGGCUCUCUUUGCCUGCCAUCGGCAUUCGCGUCUCCUUUUCUCCCUUUUCUCGAGAAAAAUGAAAAUCGAAAGAAAAGGGAGGAGAAAAAAAAAAGAAAAUAGCAAGAAAGAGAAGGAAAAAAACAAGGAAAAGGAAUAAAGCCGACAAGUUUCGUCCAAAUCAGAGAUUAGAGAUUGCAGCAGCUGACACUCUUUCUUUGCCCCCCUAUUUAUUAUCCCUCCCCUUCUCUAAGUCUAACAGAGGGAAGAGAGUACCGAGAGCCAGGGUUUCCUCCUCCUCCCGCCGCUUGAUCGUCCUUCAGGAAUCGGAUGUCGCCGCUCCUCGCUGAUUCCCCUCCGCCGACUCCGGGGAGGAGGCGGCACGAGAGGAGAAAAAAAGGUAUCUAAUGACGACAGCUACGACUGCCUGGAAACAAUGUUCUCGUCAAGCGGAUGCAGAUUAUCUAGUCUUUUGAUUAUAUUUGUCAAAUGCAUUAGAUAAUGUCAUGCUUGGAGAGUUAGGGAAUGAAGCCAUUGGUCCGCUAGACAUCAUAUGUUUUGGGUCAUUAUAUUUGACAUCCUCAUAUUUCUCGUUCAGCUAAAUGACAUUCAAAUAUUCAGUUUACAUCAAAAUUUUCUUCUUCUUAAA